CAGUAGCCGCGGUAAAACGGAGGAUCCAAGCGUUAUCCGGAAUCAUUGGGUUUAAAGGGUCCGUAGGCGGUCUUGUAAGUCAGUGGUGAAAGCCCAUCGCUCAACGGUGGAACGGCCAUUGAUACUGCAGGACUUGAAUUAUUGGGAAGUAACUAGAAUAUGUAGUGUAGCGGUGAAAUGCUUAGAGAUUACAUGGAAUACCAAUUGCGAAGGCAGGUUACUACCAAUUGAUUGACGCUGAUGGACGAAAGCGUGGGUAGCGAACAGGAUUAGAUACCCCGGUAGUCCCUGUCUCUUAUAC
rnacentral:rRNA from 1 species